rnacentral:rRNA from 1 species
UGGCCAUGUUGGUUAACAGAUCCUCAUCUGCUGGACGUCUGGCGAUGAUCUUUAUCGGUUGUCGUCAGUUGCCAGCACGUUUACUUUGAGAAAAUUAGAGUGCUAAAAGCAGGCUCACGCCUAUAUAUAUUGCAUGGAAUAAUGAAAUAAGAUCUCGAUUUUAUUUCGUUGGUUUUAGAAAUUGAGAUAAUGAUUAAUAGGAUCAGAGGGGGGCGUACGUACUGUGGUGUGAGAGGUGAAAUUCUUGGAUCGCCACAGGACGAACAGCAGCGAAGGCGUUCGCCAAGAAUGUUUUCAUCAAUCAAGAACGAAAGUUUGAGGUUCGAAGACGAUUAGAUACCGUCCUAGUUCAAACCAUAAACGUUGCCAACUGUCUUUUAGAUGCGGUUAUUUAUAUGACUCAUCUGGCGGAUCUCGAGAAAUCUAAGUUUUUAGGUUCCGGGGGAAGUAUGGUUGCAAAGCUGAAACUUAAAAGAAUUGACGGAAGGACACACAAGAAGUGGAGCCUGUGGCCUAAUUUGACUCAACACGGGAAACCUUACUCGGCCAGGACACUUUUAGGAUUGACAGAUUGAGAGCUCUUUCUUGAUUAGGUGGGUGGGUGGUGCAUGGGUCGUUCGUAGUUCGUGGAGCGAUUUGUCUGAUUAAUUUCGAUAACGAACGAGACUCCGGCUUACUAAAUAGUCUAAAGUUCGAAGGGACUUUUCAAGACUUCUUAGCAGGAUAAGUGG